CAGCAGCCGCGGGAAUACGUAGGAUGCGAGCGUUAAUCGGAAUUACUGGGCGUAAAGCGUGCGCAGGCGGUUGUGUAAGACAGGUGUGAAAUCCCCGGGCUUAACCUGGGAACUGCGCUUGUGACUGCACAGCUAGAGUAUGGCAGAGGGGGGUGGAAUUCCACGUGUAGCAGUGAAAUGCGUAGAGAUGUGGAGGAACACCGAUGGCGAAGGCAGCCCCCUGGGCCAAUACUGACGCUCAUGCACGAAAGCGUGGGGGGCAAACAGGAUUAGAUACCCCAGUAGUCCCUGUCUCUUAUAC
rnacentral:rRNA from 1 species